rnacentral:rRNA from 1 species
UACGUAGGGGGCAAGCGUUGUCCGGAAUCAUUGGGCGUAAAGAGCGUGUAGGCGGCCCGAUAAGUCCGCUGUGAAAGUCCAGGGCUCAACCCUGGGAUGCCGGUGGAUACUGUCGGGCUCGAGUCCGGAAGAGGAGUGUGGAAUUCCUGGUGUAGCGGUGAAAUGCGUAGAUAUCUGGAGGAACACCGGUGGCGAAGGCGGCAUCCUGGACCAUGACUGACGCUGAGGAGCGAAAGCCAGGGGAGCAAACGGG